GAACGUAUGGCUUAGUGGUCAUAGCGCUUUGAAGUUUUCCAAGCGCUAUGACCACAGGUUCAAAUCCGGUUACGUUAA
rnacentral:tRNA from 1 species